rnacentral:lncRNA from 1 species
CCCCGUCCCCCCCGAACUUACGCUAAUACUAACUUUCCAACCCACACUGGAAGACACAGGCAUUUCAAUUUCAAUGCUAUCUGUCUACCUGACCCUGACCCUAACCCUAACCCUAGCCCUAACCCUACCAGAACAAUAAGUCAUCCUCAAGUACCGCUAUUUCUGCACUAUCCAUGACCCUUCCAAAAAGAAGGACCCCAAUCCUAACAAUCAUGCCCACACUCCAAACGUCAGGUACAUGAAUUGGAACCCUAAACCUGAACCUACUCCUAACCCUAACCCUAACCCUACAGGCUCAGGAACGAAUCACAAUACCCAGGUGAGUGACAUGUGACCUUAUCCCUCCCUGUACCCACGAACUUGCGCUAAUACUAACUUUCCAACCCACACUGGAAGACACACGCAUUUCAAUUUCAGUGCUAUCUAUCACCCUGACCCUAACCCUAACCCUAGCCCUAACCCUACCAGAACAAUAAGUCAUCCUCAAGUACCGCUAUUUCUGCACUAUCCAUGACCCUUACCAAAAGAAGGGCCCCAAUCCUAACAAUCUUCCCCACACUCCAAACGUCAGGUACAUGAAUUGGCACCCUAAACCUGAACCUACUCCUAACCCUAACCCUAACCCUACAGGCUCAGGAACGAAUCACAAUACACAGG